AAUCAACGCUGGCGGCGUGCCUCAGACAUGCAAGUCGAACGAUUAAACUUUCCUUCGGGAAAGAUAUAAAGUGGCGCGACGGGUGAGUAACACGUAAGUAAUCUACCUUCGAGUGGGGAAUAACGUCGGGAAACCGACGCUAAUACCGCAUAAUGCAGCGGCACCUAAUGGUGACAGUUGUUAAAGGAGCAAUUCGCUUGAAGAGGAGCUUGCGGCAGAUUAGCUAGUUGGAAGGUAACGGCUUACCAAGGCUACGAUCUGUAACCGGUCUAAGAGGACGGUCGGUCACACUGACACUGAAUAACGGGUCAGGCUCCUACGGGAGGCAGCAGUCGGGAAUUUUGGCAAUGGGCGAAAGCCUGACCCAGCAACGCCGCGUGAAGGAUGAAGUAUUUCGGUAU
rnacentral:rRNA from 1 species